rnacentral:rRNA from 1 species
GACAGAGGUGCCAAGCGUUAGGCGGAAUCACUGGGCUUAAAGCGUGUGUAGGCGGACUGGUAAGUACCUUGUGAAAGCCCACGGCUCAACCGUGGAGGGUCAUUGGAAACUGGGGGGACUUGAGUACAGAAGAGAAGAGUGGAAUUCCACGUGUAGCGGUGAAAUGCGUAGAGAUGUGGAGGAACACCAGUGGCGAAGGCGACUCUUUGGUCUGUAACUGACGCUGAGGCGCGAAAGCGUGGGGAGCGAUCCGG